rnacentral:lncRNA from 1 species
CGGGCGGCUGAGGGGCAGCUACCGACCCUGCGCUCGAGCCUCCGCCUCCCCACCCGGCGGUGCCCCGCCGUGUUGGCCCUCCACAGGCCGCGCCCCCUCCCCUCCCCGCAUCCCCUGUCCCGGCCAUCCUCCUCCGGGGCACCGCGGCCCCUCAGCUGCGCCGUGUCCCCCGCCUCCGGCCAAACCGAAUGAGCAACAUACAGAACGCGGGGUGGAGCUGCGCCCAGUGCCGGGGCGCUGCAGGUGCGGUGCGGGUGCAGGUGCGGUGCGGGUGCAGGUGCCGCGGCUGCAGGCGUACGCGAGGGCUCGACCCGGACGGGCUGCGGCCUCAGAUGGCCGACUGCUGUUGUUCCCAGAAGUCCGGGAGACAGCGGCCGGUUGCUGCCCAUCUUGGGAGAGCGGCCAGUGCACAGGGCAGAAGCCCAGGAACCAGGGCCUCGCCCCAGACGAGACGUCGGCUGUUGCAGAGGACUGCCAGGCGACCCUCAUAAGUGAAACAAAAUCGCAGAAAUUGUCAAAGCUGCAGGAUUCUGUGGUUCAUCUAGUUACACAUGCGUUUUUAAAAAUCGUAAGUCGUUGAGAAAGGUUGACAUCAGUAAAGGAGGACUGGGAUUUGGACAGCAGUUUGCAAAACAAAUGCUUUGAAAAUACCUACCAAAUUGUAUUAAGUCGGAGAUAUGGGGGAAUGAGAGAACAGAUGUAAGUGAGCUUUUAGUAAAACUCUUAGUGAACUUUCCUAAAGGCAGAAGGAAUCAAUAAGUCGGAAAAGACCAGAGCAAUGAAAGCCCAGACCUCAGAUCUGUCUCCAGUUGGAUGCAGAGAGCUUAACACUGCCCAGACCUCGGGGCCUACCACAGCAUUCCAACCCCUUGAGGGCCCCAGAGUCAGUCCCAUCCCUCAUUCAGAACCCCUUAGGCCCUCCCAUUGCAAUGCAGAAGAAGCUUCCCUUAUCACCUAGAGCCCUGCACUGGGACCGCUGCUGUCCUUCCUGCUUGACACCAGGUCUUUGCAGGUGGUGUUUGCUACUCCCUUGCUCUUCCUGUGGACAGUGCUUCACCUCUGUCGCUGGAGUGAGAGUGCCUCCCUCUUCUGCCCUGGCCGCCAGGAGUCUGCUCCCCACUCCUGUGUAUUGAGGUGGGAAGCGGCUUCAUAGAGAUGUGGAAGGGAGGUACCUUCUCAAUGCCUGUCCUGUGACUGCCUCUGGGUCAGGGACUGGUGUCCCUCGAGCUACCCUCACCCCCUGCACUCUUCUUUUGGCCCAAGCUUUGCUCAUUGUCUGAAGACCUAAGUGACCAUCAAGGGACUGCUGGCCAGCAAGAGGGCAAGGACACUUGUCCCUGCUCCAGCUGUUCCAUGGCCAGCUGGAACUGACACCUAGGGAAGGGCCAUCCAUCCUAACUGCCCUGCUCAGCUGUCAUCUUCUGGCAAAACUGUCCCCAUCCUGGGGUUUUGCCACCUGGGAGGACAAGGUGGGAGGACCCCACCCACCCACCCCGCCCUGACCUUUUCAACAAGCAAUAUGUGUGUGCCAAGGAGCAUCCAGGUAUCACAGUUCUGCCUUCCACCUAAGCAAAUGGGGUCUGCUAAUGGCAGAGGACUCCAAUGCCCACAAAAGAAGACUAGAAUGUGUCUUUCCUUUUAGGAGGAGCAAAGACCCUCCCUGCCUGGUCACCAUAGGCCCUGCCCCUGCCAAGGAGUUAAGAAUAUUUCUGAUGCCAGAGGGUGAUAUUUUGCUUAUGUGUAUGAUCC